GACACUCCACUCCGCUGCGUAUUUGCAUUAUGAUGCAGUUUUGAUUUUAAACGGAGUUUUAUGUUCUAUUGUAAGGUACAGAAGUACUGGGCUGGCAGUUUGACCAAUCGCUGCCAGGUUUGUUAACGUAUCUUUUCAGUAAUAUUGGAGAGUGAAGACGGGACCCUGAAGGAGUCGUUCGACGGGUUUGGAAAGGAUCAACCAUUAUUGAAUUCAUUCAAGAAAGAGUGAUCUGCAUGAGAUAGCCUCUGCUAAAAGAGGUAGAAAAGGCUGUGCAGGAUCUAUUCUACGGAGGAGGAAGGUUGGAGGCCACCAGGUAUGUGUGAAACCCUGAGAGACCCAGAAUGGACCAAACUGAGAAAAAACAAACCACCAGCUCAAGUGCGAUUCAGUUAUUAGCCAUGAAGGGCAAGAAGUCGAUUACUAGAAGAAUACAUGGAUGGUGAAAAAGGCAGAGAUCAACAAAGAACACAUACAAAAGGGCAUUAAAUAAACAGAGACCCGGAGGACAGAGAGAAGCUGUAUCAACAGAUACGAACUGCAAAAGAGCUGACCUUUUCCAAGUCCUUGUUUGUGUGUAGAGGAGCGGAGUUAAUGACAAAUAGUGAUUUCAACCGAUGAAAUAUGGCAGCCCAGUUUCUGUUUUGUUUCAAUCUUUUUCAUGUUCAGUUAUUAAGAGAUUGGGAGGUUUAAAUUAAAUGUUACUCGGAGUCUGUAUUUGUAUACGUUAACCGUUAUUAAUGUAAUCCCGAUCUCUUUGUAUCAUUAUCAUUGUUAUGGUUAUCAAUUUGAAACUCAAUAAAAAAGGAUGAAAAAUUAAGAACUGCAAAAGGGAACAAUAAUGGAAGGCUUCAAAAUGAACAAGUAUUCAGACAUAGAUUUUCAAAAGCAAUCUGAGCCUUUCAAAGCAAGUAACAUUGAUACUAUAAAUGCACAUGAGAAAAUGGCGUGCACUUUAAAUUUUACUUUCAGCAUUUAUAGAGGAGAAAGGAAGUAACAGUCCAAAAAUCUAAGACACUACUGAAUCAUGGGAAGGAAUUUGCCAUAAUUUUAAGUGAAAAAGCAACAAAAGAAAAUAACAGUAUUGAAAAUGAAAAACACUAGAAUCAGAUGGAGUUUGAAAGGAAGGGGUAAACACAAAGGAUCUAGUGCUUUCACAGAGUAUAUGACAAAUAAACUCUAAUUGGGCUUCCAGCCGGGUACAGGUAUCAACUAUAACUGACUUUUCGAUGACACACUCUGCCAUCUUCACCAGGGAUGAUGCCUGGGUAUGUCUAGUUUGGUGGUAUUUAUACCCCCGUAGUCCGUCCCUCCUGAUUGGUUCGUCCUCAUCCAACCAGGUUUCCACUCUCCCACCUUGUUUACAAUCAAAUUCCAUCUCAAUGUGGAUAUAAUAGUCUUGGAAGCAAAACACGGUAGAUUUAUCAGAGAGGUACCUCAAAGCAAAGGGGCUGAGUUAUACAGAGAGCUUGCAGAGACAGUGCCACAUUUCCUGUAAUUAAUGUAUAAUGUAAGUUAGGUAAUGGGGUCAUUUUAAAGGAAUGGUUUGUAAGAUACUAAAGGGUAGUUGAGAGAAACUAUUUCUACCACUUAAACAAGGAGGCAAAGUUAAAAAAUUACAGCCAGACUUUCCAGGGGCAAACACUUCUACAUACAUCGGGUGGAAAAAACUGAUAUUCUCUUCUGCAAUAAUUUCAGAAAACCAAACAUGUUAAGAGACCAGGUAAAGGGCUGCAUAUAGAGUCAGGUCACUCAUCAAUCACAAUCUACUUGGUACAGGUUGGCUAACCUAAUCUCUGGUGAGCAGGUAACCAAGCCAGUGGGAUUAAAUUAAGAUGCAGUGCAAACUUCCUCCCUGCACUGUUCGGUGCGUCAGCUGGCAACCUUGCUAUUUCUUUACCGCUUGGCCGCUUUCUGAGGCCGAGUUGCUAGUUGAUGGCUCAACCCAGCACGGGUAUGCUGUGCAAAACAUUCCACUAAAAAUCUACUAAUUCUCAAUAUUCUGGCUCACGCAGAACUAACAUUUCGUUUCAAAGCUAAAGGCCAUAACACGAGAAAUUUUUUUUCUCAUGUAGAAGUCCGCACCCAUGCCUUACUGUGAAGUAACCUCUCCCAUGCAACUCUCCCCCACCCCCAAAGAGGAACAUAUUCUUCAGGGCACAGAAGAACACAAAAGUUAAAAUACAAGUUAAGCAGAGUUUUUAACAUUCUCUAUGGCCCUUGGGCAAAUACACCAGUGACACAAUGCAACAA